GCUGCUCGGGCUGAGGAUCAGGGUUGAUCCGAGCGUUCUGGCCUCACAACGGCUGUCAAACACCCAAACUAACUGGCUAACUACUUCCAGACACAUGAGAGAACACCUCACUCUGGUCAUUUUACUCACCCAAGCAGAGCUGGUUAGGUAGUUUAAUGAUGUUUUUUGUGGCUGAAAUUGACUGACAUUGGUCACAUUCAACAGGUGUUGAGUGUUUCUAAAUUCAUCAGUUAUUUGCUCUGUGUUGAGUGUGUAAAUCCAUCCGUUUUUCGCACUCUGCCUCUAGCAGUCAGACGAGCGUGCUCUGAAGUUGGAGUCGAUAGCCCAGAGCAAAUUUAAGAACGGACCUGAACGACUAUACCACGUAGCUAAACGAUGAAUGACAAUCAAGUCAAUAAACGUUGGGUAGUUAGUUAAAUAGAAUAAAGUAAAUAUACUGGGACGUUUGUUGUACUAGUAGCCAACUAACAUUACAGUAGGUAGCUAAAAUACCCGGCUGUUACAUACCAAGGUAAAGACAGUUUCAGGUUAGAUAUUCGAUGGCUUGGGCCCCUCUUGGGGCGAACCCAUUCCAGGGCGCCCUGUCCUUGACAAAGAAAAGAUAACUCUAGCCCGGGGCUCCCGCCAACUUCUCCAGGAUCGGUCGCGUUACCACAUUGGAUGCCUCGUGGCGCCCGUCUCCGCCAGUCCGUGGACUUUCUGAAAGUAGUUUGAGCCAUUGCAAUGAGCCUGUCCUCCCCAUUGAUCCCUCCACCACCAGCCACAGUGCCAAUCCAGGGCCUCUUUUGGUUUUGCACGCCUCCCUUUCGGACUAAGCCAUUCUCAAAUGCAUCAGAGAAGCCUGUGCCAACACAGAACAGCCAUAGAGGAAAUGAAGACAGCCUCUAAUCAAGAUGUCUGUACCAAGGGAUGAUGGGAGGAUUAUUAGCACGGAUUUGGAGUUGGGAGGAAAGAGGGGGAUGCCAAUAUAGGGGUGCUGUUUGGGGGCUCUGCAGCUGUGCCACAUAAUAAGAAAUAGAGCUGGUGGAGUCUGAUGGCUAAAUUAAAGACUAUGUAAUGCUCGCUGAUAGCCUGGAGCUAAUGAUGUGCCUUUCGAUUCUCUAUGGUUGUUGACCUAUUGCCAGGGUCCUCCAAAUAACAAAUGUUUCAUGUUGCAAAACAUUUUUACCACAGUGUGUGUUAAUGAACAGAACCCUAUGUUGGGAUACUGACUUCCAAGGGGGAAGCUUGAGUGUACAUUGAUAACACAUUUCCUGCUGUGAGAGAAGUUGAGUUUUCUGUCUCAGUCAUACACUAUAGUUAUGAUACCUGUGUGUACUAAUAAUACUUUUUAAAAGCUGGGAGUGAAAGUUUCAUCAGAUACAAAAUGUAGUAAAUGUUAUUACACCUGGCUUGAUGGUACAAAACAUGGGACCUCCAGUAAGAAAUUAAAUAUGUUAUUUUCUAGUCAUAGAAUAUUCAACAGGCCUUGUGGGGCUGAGAUGCAGUAAAUGGCAGACUACUUUGUGGAUGGUGUGAGAUUUUCCACAAGUGUUAAUUUCAUUAAAUGACAUAUUCCUAAGGGAACAAGCUACAUUCAAUUUGAUCCCACAAAAAUCUGAUAUCUCAGUCUCAAUGUGUUUUUACUGUCAAUAUUUCAUGCCUAAUGUGAUUGAUUGUGAUGAAAAUACAGUAGCUCUUGUAGCCUAUGCCACUUUUGCAAUCAUGUGAGGACCUCUUGUGGUAGUCUGUGGUACACUACAAUUCGUAGCUGCCCUCAUUCAUAACCAAUUACAACCAGAAUCCAAACCUAUACCUUAACUCUAGCUUCAUGUCCACAUCCCGGUUCAACCCUAACCCUAGCCUCAACUACAACCCUAACAUUAACACUAGCUUCAUGUCCACAUUCCAGUUCAACCUUAACAGUUCAACCCUAACCCUAGCCUCAACGACAACUACAACCCUUUCCUCAAUCACAACCCAAACCCUAGCUUCAUGUUCACACUCCAGUUCAACCUUAACCCUCAACCCCAACCCAACCAUAACCUUGGUUUAUCUUACUCUAACCUACUUUGUACUCUACUUUCCUCUUUGGUGCUGCAGCUCAGCUCUACCUGGCUUUCCCUUUGACAUGUGGUACAGGAGGUUGGCUCUGGGUAGCUCUGGCUCAGUUUAACAACUGAUCCUCAUCCCAUUGAUGUCAUGGCAACAUGGCACUGUCCACACCUUAGCACACAUGCACUCACUCUCGCAAACACACACACACACACACACACACACACACACACACACACACACACACACACACACACACACACACACAUUCAUAUGCUACAUACACAUCACAACUCUACCAGAAUCAUAUUAUUAUUGCUAAAUACUGCACAAUUUUAACACUUGCCUGCCAAUCCCCCCUUCCCAAAAACAACUGUAAAUAUUAGACAAAUUGUGCUUCCCUGUAUUAUACUUACAUGUAUGCUAAACAUUUUAUUAUAUUUUACUGAACCAUUUCCUUUAUGUUCGUAUUUUAUUAUUUAUUUGUAUUCUUGCAUUGUCGAGAAGGAACCUGCAAGUAAGCAUUUCAUUGGCCAGUGUGUAUCUUGUACAUACCAUGUGUAUCUUGUACAUACAGUACAACUAAUACAACUUGAAACUUGAUGGAGAUAGUGUUACUAGAAUAACCACUAGGUGGCCAUAGCUGCAUUGGUUAUACAGUACUGUUCAUUUGAACAUAAACAAAUAGGAUAGUGAAAACAUUGCCCAUUUUGGCUUACCACUGUAUUAUGUUAAUAAGACUUGGUUUAGCUUUGUGUCAAUUUACUAUGACAAAGAAUUAUGGCUAGAAAGGAGAUGGAAUUCUAUUUAUUUACAUACUUUCUCUCCCUGUCCCUAGCCUGUAGCUAUCCCUUCUAUCCCUAACCUGUAGCUAUUCCUUCUCUCCUUGUCCCUAACCUGUAGCUAUCCCUUCUCUCCCUGUCCCUAACCUGUAGCUAUCACAUCUAUCCCUGUCCCUAACCUGUAGCUAUCACAUCUAUCCCUGUCCCUAACCUGUAGCUAUCACAUCUAUCCCUGUCCCUAACCUGUAGCUAUCACAUCUAUCCCUGUCCCUAACCUGUAGCUAUCACAUCUAUCCCUGUCCCUAACCUGUAGCUAUCAUAUCUAUCCCUGUCCCUAACCUGUAGCUAUCCCUUCUCUCCCUGUCCCUAACCUGUAGCUAUCCCUUCUCUCCCUGUUCCCAACUUGUAGCUGUCCCUUCUGUCCCUAACCUGUAGCUAUCCCUUCUCUCCCUGUUCCCAACCUGUAGCUAUCCCUUCUCUCCCUGUCCCUAACCUGUAACUAUCCCUUCUCUCCUUGUCCCUAACCUGUAGCUAUCACAUCUAUCCCUGUCCCUAACCUGUAGCUCUCACAUCUAUCCCUGUCCCUAAACUGUAGCUAUCACAUCUAUCCCUGUCCCUAACCUGUAGCUAUCCCUUCUCUCCCUGUUCCUAACCUGUAGGUAGGGGUAGGUUGACCUCAGGUCUUCCCACUGGAAGCCCGGGGUAGGGGGAGCGGGGGAAAAAUAAAAAAUCUAUCAAAUAGCGCACCUCUAACUUUUUACAGUACUAAUGCAAUUAGUAAUGCAAUUAGUUGUGCAAUUGAGUUUAUGCGUUUCUUGUUUGAAGUACAAUAGUGUAAUAAUCAGGUUCUCUUCUUUAUAUGUGUGUUAUUGUAUUUGUUUAUUUGUGUGAUUUAGGAUUUGUGCAAUUUAGUUUUAUUUGUCUGAUUUUUGUUGGCAUUGGGGUAAUAGUGCAAUAAUUUGAUUCUCCUUUUUAUUGUCACUUCUUUUUUAUAUUUAUUAGUCUUAUUUUUGUAUAUAUAUUUAUAUUUAUAUCGUUUUAAAUGUUAUGAUUACUUAUUUGUUUUGUUCCAAAUAUCUGA